GUGGGGAAUAUUGGACAAUGGGGGGAACCCUGAUCCAGCCAUGUCGCGUGUGUGAAGAAGGCCUUUUGGUUGUAAAGCACUUUAAGCGAGGAGGAGGCUACCGAGAUUAAUACUCUUGGAUAGUGGACGUUACUCGCAGAAUAAGCACCGGCUAACUCUGUGCCAGCAGCCGCGGUAAUACAGAGGGUGCAAGCGUUAAUCGGAUUUACUGGGCGUAAAGCGCGCGUAGGUGGCCAAUUAAGUCAAAUGUGAAAUCCCCGAGCUUAACUUGGGAAUUGCAUUCGAUACUGGUUGGCUAGAGUAUGGGAGAGGAUGGUAGAAUUCCAGGUGUAGCGGUGAAAUGCGUAGAGAUCUGGAGGAAUACCGAUGGCGAAGGCAGCCAUCUGGCCUAAUACUGACACUGAGGUGCGAAAGCAUGGGGAGCAAACAGGAUUAGAAACCCCAGUAGUCC
rnacentral:rRNA from 1 species